rnacentral:misc_RNA from 1 species
GAUGAAGAACGCAGCGAAAUGAGAUAAGUAAUGUGAAUUGCAGAAUUCAGUGAAUCAUCGAAUCUUUGAACGCACAUUGCGCCCGCUAGUAUUCUGGCGGGCAUGCCUGUCCGAGCGUCAUUUCAACCCUCAAGCCCCCGGGCUUGGUGUUGGGGAUCGGCGAGCCUCCGCGCCCGCCGUCCCCUAAAUCUAGUGGCGGUCUCGCUGUAGCUUCCUCUGCGUAGUAGCACACCUCGCACUGGGAAACAGCGCGGCCACGCCGUUAAACCCCCAACUUCUGAACGUUUGACCUCGGAUCAGGCAGGAAUACCCGCUGAACUUAAGCAUAUCAAUAAGCGGAGGA